GCGGACGCUGGGUCUGCAGAUGCCAUCCAGGCGCACGGCGGGUAUAGUGGUUCCGCAACCUUGGGAUGUUCGGCCGAGCGCCUGCCUAACAUGGGAGCGCCUGCCUAACCCUCCUGACUGGAGGGUCAGCGGCGGGGAGUCCUGGCCUUCAAUCGGCCAUCGCCACGGCAGAAACUGGGGCCCGGGCCUUCCCCGUCCGUCCACAGGUCUCAUGGGCGCCCGGACUGGGGCUGAUGUAGUUUCCCGACCUCUGACACAUAGAAUCUGGAGAUUAAAGCUGCUCUGCUAAUAAUUAGGUUCCCACCUCUCAAGAUCAUUAGGAGCUUCUUUUCCAAUUUCUCUGUUUUGCAUGCAUUGGAAGGUAAGUUUCCUUGUAAACCAGAUUUUGGACUCUGCAGGCUUUGCCAAAUGGCCUUUUUACCCUCAUGUAUAUUGCAUUUUCUUUGGAUAGUCUC
rnacentral:lncRNA from 1 species